AUGAGACAACCACCUAGGUUUGAAGAUGGUUCUAGACCUAAUCAUGUGUGCAAAUUGGACAAGGCUCUAUAUGGUCUCAAACAAGCCCCCAGAGCUUGGUACUCAAGGUUAAGUACAAAGCUACAACAACUUCGGUUUCGAGCUUCCAAGGGAGAUACCUCUCUGUUCUUCUUUAAAAAAGGAAAGGUGAUAAUAUACAUGUUAAUUUAUGUUGAUGACAUAAUUGUUGCUAGUUCAUCUCAAGAGGCCACCUCAGCAUUGCUAAAACAGUUAAAAAUGAGUCUGCUCUUAAGGAUCUGGGAGAGUUACAUUAUUUCCUAG
rnacentral:rRNA from 1 species